AUUGAACGCUGGCGGCAGGCCUAACACAUGCAAGUCGAGCGGUUGAGGAAGCUUGCUACCGAUGCAGCGGCGAACGGGUGAGUAAUACAUGGGAAUCUGCCUGGUAGUGGGGGACAACGUCUCGAAAGGGACGCUAAUACCGCAUACGCCCUACGGGGGAAAGGGGGGGAUCUUCGGACCUCUCGCUAUCAGAUGAGCCCAUGUCAGAUUAGCUAGUUGGUGGGGUAAAGGCUCACCAAGGCGACGAUCUGUAACUGGUCUGAGAGGAUGAUCAGUCACACUGGAACUGAGACACGGUCCAGACUCCUACGGGAGGCAGCAGUGGGGAAUAUUGGACAAUGGGCGCAAGCCUGAUCCAGCCAUGCCGCGUGUGUGAAGAAGGCCUUAGGGUUGUAAAGCACUUUCAGUGGGGAGAAAGGUUAUUCACCUAAUACGUGAGUAAAUUGAUGUUACCCACAGAAGAAGCACCGGCUAACUCCGUGCCAGCCGCCGCAGUAA
rnacentral:rRNA from 1 species